AUUGAACGCUGGCGGCAUGCUUUACACAUGCAAGUCGAACGGCAGCGCGGGCUUCGGCCUGGCGGCGAGUGGCGAACGGGUGAGUAAUACAUCGGAACGUGCCCAGUAGUGGGGGAUAGCUCGGCGAAAGCCGGAUUAAUACCGCAUACGACCUGAGGGUGAAAGCUGGGGAUCUUCGGACCUCGCGCUAUUUGAGCGGUCGAUGGCAGAUUAGCUAGUUGGUGGGGUAAAGGCCUACCAAGGCGACGAUCUGUAGCUGGUCUGAGAGGACGACCAGCCAAAGUGGGGCUGGGACAGGGCCCAGGAGCCUGCGGGAGGGAGCAGUGGGGAAUUUUGGACAAUGGGCGGAAGCCUGAUCCAGCAAUGCCGCGUGUGUGAUGAAGGCCUUCGGGUUGGAAAGCACUUUUGGCGGGAACGAAAAGGACUGGGCCAAUACCAAGGUUCGGUGACGGUAACCGCAGAAUAAGCACCGGCUAACUACGUG
rnacentral:rRNA from 1 species